GACGAACGCUGGCGGCGUGCUUAACACAUGCAAGUCGUACGGUAAGGCCUUUUCGGGGGUACACGAGUGGCGAACGGGUGAGUAACACGUGAGUAACCUGCCCACAACUUUGGGAUAACGCUAGGAAACUGGUGCUAAUACUGGAUAUGUGCUCCUGCUGCAUGGUGGGGGUUGGAAAGCUCCGGCGGUUGUGGAUGGACUCGCGGCCUAUCAGCUUGUUGGUGGGGUAGUGGCCUACCAAGGCGGCGACGGGUAGCCGGCCUGAGAGGGUGACCGGCCACAUUGGGACUGAGAUACGGCCCAGACUCCUACGGGAGGCAGCAGUGGGGAAUAUUGCACAAUGGGCGCAAGCCUGAUGCAGCAACGCCGCGUGCGGGAUGACGGCCUUCGGGUUGUAAACCGCUUUCAGCAGGGACGAAGCUUUUUGUGACGGUACCUGCAGAAGAAGCACCGGCUAACUACGUG
rnacentral:rRNA from 1 species